rnacentral:rRNA from 1 species
UACGUAGGGGGCAAGCGUUUGUUCGGAUUCAUUGGGCGUAAAGGGUGCGUAGGCGGCGCGGUAAGUCGGGUGUGAAAUCUCGGAGCUUAACUCCGAAACUGCAUUCGAUACUGCCGUGCUUGAGGACUGGAGAGGAGACUGGAAUUUACGGUGUAGCGGUGAAAUGCGUAGAUAUCGUAAGGAAGACCAGUGGCGAAGGCGGGUCUCUGGACAGUUUCCUGACGCUGAGGCACGAAGGCCAGGGGAGCAAACGGG